UAGGGAAUAUUGCACAAUGGGCGAAAGCCUGAUGCAGCAACGCCGCGUGUGCGAUGAAGGCCUUCGGGUCGUAAAGCACUUUUCUGAGAGAUGAGAAAGGACAGUAUCUCAGGAAUAAGUCUCGGCUAACUACGUGCCAGCAGCCGCGGUAAAACGUAGGAGGCGAGCGUUAUCCGGAUUCACUGGGUGUAAAGCGCGUGCAGGCGGUUCGGUAAGUUGGGCGUGAAAUCUCCCGGCUCAACUGGGAGAGGUCGUUCAAUACUACCGGGCUUGAGAGCGGUAGAGGAAGAUGGAAUUCCCGGUGUAGUGGUGAAAUGCGUAGAUAUCGGGAGGAACACCAGUGGCGAAGGCGAUCUUCUGGACCGUUUCUGACGCUCAGACGCGACAGCUAGGGUAGCAAACGGG
rnacentral:rRNA from 1 species